GAUGAAUGCUGGCGGCGUGGAUGAGGCAUGCAAGUCGAAUGGGUUUAGACCCAUGGCAGACGAGGUAGGAACACGUGGGUACGUGCCCUAGAGUCAGGGAUAAUCCGUCGAAAGGCGGGAUAAUACUUGAUAGUCCCUUCGGGGUAAAGAUUUAUCGCUCUAGGAACGGCCCGCGGUCUAUCAGCUUGUUGGUAAGGUAACGGCUUACCAAGGCUACGACGGAUAGGGGAGGUGAGAGCCUGACCCCCACCGAUGGAACUGAGACACGGUCCAUACUCCUACGGGAGGCCGCAGUCGAGAAUCUUCCGCAAUGGACGAAAGUCUGACGGAGCGACGCCGCGUGGUGGAUGAAGCGUUUCGGCGCGUAAACACCUUUUAUGAAGGAGGAAUUUUAUUGACGUUACUUCAUGAAUAAGGGGCUCCCAACUCUG
rnacentral:rRNA from 1 species